rnacentral:rRNA from 1 species
UUUGAAAUCUGGCCCUCGGGUCCGAGUUGUAAUUUGUAGAGGAUGCUUUUGGCGAGGUGCCUUCCGAGUUCCCUGGAACGGGACGCCAUAGAGGGUGAGAGCCCCGUCUGGUCGGACACCGAGCCUCUGUAAAGCUCCUUCGACGAGUCGAGUAGUUUGGGAAUGCUGCUCAAAAUGGGAGGUAUAUGUCUUCUAAAGCUAAAUAUUGGCCAGAGACCGAUAGCGCACAAGUAGAGUGAUCGAAAGAUGAAAAGCACUUUGAAAAGAGGGUUAAAAAGUACGUGAAAUUGUUGAAAGGGAAGCGCCUAUGACCAGACUUGAGCCCGGUGAAUCAUCCAGCGUUCUCGCUGGUGCACUUUGCCGGGCCCAGGCCAGCAUCAGUUUGGCGCGGGGGAUAAAGGUGACGGGAAUGUGGCUCCCUCGGGAGUGUUAUAGCCCGCUACGUAAUACCCUGCGCCGGACUGAGGUACGCGCAUUGCAAGGAUGCUGGCGUAAUGGUCAUCAGCGACCCGUCUUGAAACACGGACCAAGGAGUCGUCUUCGUAUGCGAGUGUUCGGGUGUCAAACCCCUACGCGUAAUGAAAGUGAACGCAGGUGAGAGCUUCGGCGCAUCAUCGACCGAUCCUGAUGUUCUCGGAUGGAUUUGAGUAAGAGCAUACGGGGCCGGACCCGAAAGAAGGUGAACUAUGCCUGUAUAGGGUGAAGCCAGAGGAAACUCUGGUGGAGGCUCGCAGCGGUUCUGACGUGCGAAUCGAUCGUCAAAUAUGGGCAUGGGGGCGAAAGACUAAUCGAACCUUCUAGUAGCUGGUUUC